GACGAACGCUGGCGGCGUGCUUAACACAUGCAAGUCGAACGAAGUGGCGCACGGGUGAGUAACGCGUAAUCAACCUGCCCUUCAGAGGGGGAAAACAGUUGGAAACGACUGCUAAUACCGAAUACUGAAGGAGGGGAGUGCGUCGGCUUAGCUAGUUGGAGGGGUAACGGCCAACCAAGGCUAUGAUCAGUAGCCGGUCUGAGAGGGUGACCUGCCAAAUUUGGACUGAGACACCGCCCAGACUCCUACGGGUGGCAGCAGUGGGGAAUCUUCCGCCAUGGAAGAAAGUCUGACGGAGCAACGCCGCCUGAGUGAUGACGGCCUUCGGGUUGUAAAGCUCUGUUAAUCGGGACGCGGUACCGGAAGAGAAAGCCACGGCUAACUACGUGCCAGCAGCCGCGGUAAUUC
rnacentral:rRNA from 1 species